CUUGUGGAGCCGCAAGUUUGCCUCUCUUUCGUCCACUUUUGUCUCUACGCCGCGUUACUCCGCUUCGGCUCUCUCCUUCACUGACACAACUCCCCCUCCCCCAUCGCUUCACCUGCAGGCAACAAGAUGGACACGGCAGCUAUCAAAGAGGAGCUGGUCAGUAAAAAGAAAACAUUUGAAGAUUACUAUUUUAGUGCUGUCAGCGUAAAGUUAAUGCCAUAACUGAAUUAACGGGGCAAAUCUCCGUUAACUAGUUACCGUGGAUCACCGCGUGCGUGGAGCUGGGUGGCUCUAACGAGCUAACUGGGCUAACGCCUUGACACACGGCCUAAAAUCCUUUCAUUUUCUCAAAAAUCGACAGUGCGCCUUAUGUAUGAAUUCUGGUUGUGCUUACUGACCCCGAACCAAUUUUAUGUGAUACACAGCUUAAAAAAAUCUGUCAAAAAAUGUUUUGGUACGACUUUGCUAAGCUAUGAAGCUGCACUGCUUGAUUGAUUGUUGGAUUAUUACGGCUACCGAGGAGCCUCGCAGAGUGAUACGUACUCUGCUUCAACGUAAUAUUACCGUAUUAUGUGUAUAAGGACCAUAAAUGGCUCCUGUAAGACACACGGUUACAAAGAGGAUUUCAAACUCCAGGCUGUCAGUCACGCAGUAGAACUUUGUCUUUGUUAAUAUGCUCAGCAUCUUUUAUUUUACAUUUUGACUGCACAAUUGUGAGCUUUUUGUUAUGCACAAAACAACAUUGUUUUGGUUUAUUUAUGGAGCAUCAUUAAUAAAUGCUCCGAUAAUUUAAACAGAUGCUUCAGGAGUUUUAUCCCACUCAUACUCUCAAUCCAAUGUUUGUCAUUCUAAGUUGUAAAACCAAUCACACAAAAUUAUCCUUGGCAUACAUAAUAGAUCCGAGUACAUUGUUGGUGCAUUCCAUGUAGAAUACAAUUUGUUAAUAAUAAAUUAAAUAAAUUAAACAUUUGAUGUAAUGUAUGUUUUGUAAAUUAUUUGUUUUACUCUGUUUUACAUGGCAUUUUACAAGGCAGAAUCAGCUCACUUUAGUGAGCCAAAACAAUUAGGACAGGAGAAAAACAUUCUUAAGUAAUGUCAGGAAGCUGGAAUUUUAUUUUAAAACUAAUUGCUAUUUUUAUUUAUUUAGAGAAUUAAAAGCCAACUCCAGACCACUGCUUGCUUGUCCUGAUUUGUGAGGGAUUGAUGAAGAGUUGGUAAGGAGAGGAAUCAGAACAGGAGCGCCUCCCUCUGCCCCCAAACACAUAAUCAGGUAAUGUAACUUUGGUAAUUUGAGAUUAAUUCAGGUUUCUUUUGAAUUGUUGACACUGUCCUCUCCUCUCUUCUCAUUAUAGUUUUUGUAUGCAGUGCCAGUUCUGCCAAGUUCAAGCCAAGAAGUACUCUUAAGACAUCACCAGCUACGACAUAGAAGAGGAUUUCAUUUGCCCUGUGUUUACAGUGACUGCGUCUGUUCGUUUAGGACACGAGGGGCGUUGAAGUCUCACCUCAGCAGAUCACACAACAGGGCUAAGAAAAGGCAGGAGAGCUCAACAUUUUUUUGUGAUUUUUGUGAAUUUAAGGAAAACUGUUCACAGCAUACAUUUAUUUCACAUAUUUUAAGGCACUUAAAAAACCAUCAGACUGUAUCCUGUCCUUUCCAAAAAUGUGACUAUGAUACCAACAAUUUAUCAACCUUUACGUCACACACAAGCAGAAAGCACAAAAACUCAAAAGAUAUAAAAAAAACUGUAUUAGACUGAUUUCUCAUGCUGAUGCAUGUCCUAGUGAAAGUAGCUCCCCUGAUGAAUCCUUAAAUACCUCUCAGGAGCCAGAGACAUUACCAAGUGGUUCAGGUGUAGCAUCCAGUGAUAAACAGGACAAUGAGUUGGUAGAUUACCAAUGUCUUGAACAUAAAAUAGCUAGACUUUUUCUAUGCAUGCAAACAUUGUUACAUGUUUCUAAAAGUGCUUUGCAGAGAAUUAUUGAGGAAAUUAGUGACAUUUUAAAAUUUUCUCAGGUUCAUUCAUUUCAAAGAAUCAAAGAGGUGCUUGCUGAACAGAACAUUGAGGCAGAUGAUGAUGUAAUUAAAAAUAUAAAUGAUGCACUUUUCAAAACCAACCCAUUAAUUAUCUCAACAGAACCAAAAGGUGCAUUAUCUACUGAUUACAAGAGAAAUUUUUAUUUCAAGAAUAAUUUUCAUGUAAUUCAGCCUACAGAGUACACCUACAAAGCGAGAACUAGAAAUACAUUUGUUUAUGUCUCAGUAAACCAGGUCUUGGAGAACUUAUUGAAAGAGAAAAGUUUCUUUGAAAAGUUAGCAUUUGAUAAAGAAAUUAGUGAAGGUUACAGAUCAUUUAGAGAUGGGCAGUAUUUCAAAAACAACAAGCUUUUAGGAUUGCAAGAUACUUGCAUUAGUUUGGCUUUGUAUAUUGACGACUUUGAAAUAUGCAACCCUUUAGGAACAUCUCGAAAAAUUCAUAAAAUAACUGCCGUUUAUUGGGUUGUACUCAACUUAUCUGCAAGGUUUCGUUCCACAUUGCCCUCAAUACAGCUUGCUCUUCUUGGUAAAAGUGUAGACGUUAAACAGUUUGGGUAUGAUGCUUUUCUUUAUCCACUCAUUGAGGAUUUAAAAGGUCUUGAAAGCACAGGGGUGUACGUUGAAUCUUUAAAUAGUUUUUUGAAGGGAACUGUAUUUUGUGUCUGUGCAGAUAACCUUGGGGCUCACAGCCUUGCAGGCUUUUUGGAGUCCUUUAAUGUCGACAAGUUUUGUCGACUUUGUAGUAUUGAUAAACAUCAGAUUGCAACUCUUGAUCCUACAGAAUUUCCAUUAAGAACUGUGGAAGAGCAUAACAUUUUUCUAGAAGAGCUUGAGGCUGGUCAAAGACAAAGUGUGUGUGGUGUCAAAGGUUCCUGUGCCUUAAGUGCGUUGUCCUAUUUUCAUCCAGUCACUGGAUUUCCUCCAGAUAUAUUACAUGAUUUCUUUGAAGGUGUUGUCCCUGUGGAAUUGUGUUUGUGUCUUCAAGAUUUAAUCAGAAAGGGUUUUAUCACAUUUGAAGGACUAAACAAACGUAUAAAAUCAUUUCCAUAUAAAUUCUCUGAUAAGCUCAACAAGCCACAACAAAUUACGAAAGCCAGUUUUGGAACAGGAAGAGUGAGUGGCAAUGGACAUGAAAACUGGACACUUUUGCGUUUGCUGCCUUUUAUCAUUGGGACCCGUAUACCAGAACAUGAGCCAUCAUGGGAAAUAUUGAUGGACCUUAAGGAGCUUGUUGAGAUUGUUGUCUCAACAACUCUAUCAGAAGAAAUAUUGUCAUACUUGGACACCAAAAUAUUGGAUCAUCGACGACUACUGACAGAGACUUUUCCUGAUUUUAAUUUGAAGCCAAAACACCACUAUAUUGAGCAUUAUAGUCAUCUUGUGCGUUGUUUUGGUCCCUUAGUUGAUUUGUGGACUAUUCGAUUUGAAUCUAAGCACAACUUUUUCAAGAAAACUGUGCAUGAUGUCCAAUGCUUUAAGAAUAUACUACUAACACUUUCUUCAAAGCAUCAACAAAUGAUGGCAUACUUCUUAGAUGGUCACAGUCUUUUUAAACCAAGUCUGCAUGUUGAUAAUGUUGACACAGUUGACAUCUGUUUCUUGAAUGAAACUCUUCAGAAGUGCUUGAAACUGAAACAUCCACAGGUAAAAGCUGUGUCAUUUGCUAAAUGUGUUUAUCUGUAUGGGACCCAGUAUGUUAAAGGCAUGAUCAUUUCAUCAGGACAACUGAGUGGUCUGCCUGAGUUCUACAAGAUACUGAACAUUUUGGUAGACUCUGGGAAAGUGUCAUUUGUUGCUACAAAGCUCUCCUCUUGGUUUAUGGAACAUUACAGAUCAUAUCGGCUUGACAGCAGCUACAAAGAUCUGGAAAUACUUGACCCAGAAGAUUUGAAUGAUUACCACCCUUUAGCUGAAUACUGCGUAGCUGGACAACUGAUGGUGACACCUGUUACGUGCCUCCUGCAUUGAAAGUGAUGGCCCUGUUACUGCGAGUCCACGUCAGUCCAAAACUUACCAGAAAAAUCCAACUGUCCACUGUUCCAGAAUCUGUGAAGCAGCUUCAAGAUGAACUACAAGCAAAGCUUGGACUUGAAGGUGACUUUGCAAUACAAUAUGAAGACCCAGAUUUUGGGAACGCACUUUGCAACCUGAUGGAUAUUAAUGAGCUACCUGCUGGACGGGCAGUGUUGCACCUCAUUUGGGAGGAAAAUGCAUCAGCCUCGCCACCACAGACUCCAUCUGAUCAUAGCGCCAUCUCAUCUGUUGAUACAGCCAUUGUGAGUUCAGCAUCUUCUUUCAGCCCAUCCUCAUCCACCCAGACCUACAUGCGUAGCACUUCACAGUGGCCAAAUCCAUUUCCUAUCCCAACCUUUUCCUAUGAUGUAGAGUUAAAACUUCGCAAGGGCAACGAAGUAUAUGAGAAAGCAGGGGCAAAUUUAAGUGUAACAAGAGACAUCAAGAUGGAAGUUCUAGACAAGAUUGUGGAGAUGCAGCCCUUGGUCAAGGAAAUGCAGCUCAGAUGGCCAGCUCUCUUCUUGAAAGAACAGAUUUGUGCGGAAUUCUCACGCAUUACCACCAAGGAUCUCAUGGGGACCUUCAUGACUGCCCUCGACACUUACUCACUUCGGCUGAUUAAGCUGUAUCGAAUUAGAAAAGCUGCUUUCCGCAAUGACAUGGAUUCCCUGUUGCAGAAGUUUGAUGAACAGGUCUCAAACAUAGUCCAGCAUCGACGAACCAUCAGUUUGGAAGGGUUACCGAGAUUUGUUCGCGACGACGAGACCAAACUCUUCUUAACAUGUCUGGUGAGCAUGCAAAUCUACUCAAUCUUCAGUUUUGGUUUUCAGAGACUUAUAUGUACUGUUGUUGUUUUUUUUAAAUUUUGCAUAGGAUACAGAUCCAGUUGAGAGGGCAACCCGAGGUGUUACGGUGGGCAUCCUCACUGUUCUGGAGGACUACGUGGGACCCAACUCGCAGUCCACAGUGGUCAAUACUGCCAUUGUUUUGGAAGAGGACAUUAUUCUUGAUGAUCUGCCAGACCUUCCCACUGCCUUUGCCUACCUGUUUGGCCUACUUUAUGGGCUCAACAUGGAGUUUCCCAAAGAACUCAAGUACACAUUUGAAGCUGUGCAACACAUUUUUAUGGAGUUGACAUCUACCUGUUCCCAGAGGAUAAGAAGCUUCAAAACCAAGCUCUUAACCAAAGUCUAACCUAUUUGACAACAUGUUCAACUCAAAUGCAACUUGUGUAAAAGAGAAUGCAGCAAUUUGCUUUGAUUUACAGUUUUUGGGUUUUGUGGUAAGUUGCUCUGAAAAUAGUAAAUUUCUGGCUUUAAGAAAAUGGUAAGGUGCAGAAAAUUUGAAUCAAUCUCUUCUGUUCUAACUUUACUUAAUGUAGCUUGCAUGACUGAUUGCAGAUUUCAUGUAUAACAAGUUUUUAUAAAAUGUUUUAAGUCUUUAUUCUAACUUGAACUGUUUUAAAGAAUUUUUAUAAUCUGGUUUUAGGUACAUUUAUACUAGUUUUAUAACAAAUGUGGCGCAAUACUGAACUUCAGAGGAAAUUAGUAUUGAUACCAUUACUAUUAAAAGACAAGUGGUGGAAAAAAUUGUUUGAAAGUUGUUCGCUGUAUGGAAACCAGAUAGAAGUUGUUCACAUCCUGCCAUCUGAUGUUUUGAAUCUGUUUGUUAGUGACUAUCUAUCAAGAUAGGUUUGAGAUUCUGCCUGACAAUACCACACCUUUAAAAUAAUGAGUAACAUUUGUUACAAAAAUUUGACUUUUUUGUGUUUUUGGAUAGACUUUAUUUGUGGCUGAAUGUUGUCAGUAUGUUAAAAAUGGCUCAUCUCAAAAGUCAACAUUGUCAGUGGUGCAGUUGUGUUUGCACACAAAGUUAUUUGAAAAUCAACUCUGUAAACAUUCAUUGGUACAACAGGGAGCACCUCAUGGAAACUAUAAAAGAUACUUUUUCUAAACUUUAGGAAAUCGAUUGGCAAAACAAAACAAAAAAAAUAUGUUGUGUAAACUUUAGGAAAUACGUUGCCAAAACAAUAAAAUAUGAGUUAAGAAAAAGCACAAUUAUUAAUUUUGUAAACACAAAAACAUUAGCUGAAGCAACUUUGCUCCUAAACUUGAAAUUAUAAGUUAUCCAUCAGAACCUAAAAACAUAAAUGCAGUGGGUUGCCUUGAGUUUUUAAGUUUUUGCAACGUUUUUUUUUUUUUUUUUUUUUUUUCACACAGUGUGGGCUGGGCAGACGUCUCCGAAAUCAUCGAAGCACUUUUGCAAAGAGGCUGUAUCUUGACAAACCGACCAGACAUCUGAAGAUUAAACCACUACAUUCUCGGCUAAAAAAAUACUAAAACGGUAUUUGGUGACACACAAACAGGGUUUUUCCAAAGUUCAGUUCUGUUAGUUUCAACAUGCCGGUUGUUGUGUGCUAAAAACAAUGGCCACCAGGCCAAAGCAAUGGUUUUGACUCGAUCAGCGUUAACUCCGCCCCCCUGGGUUUGAUGGGUGAGGUUGACAGAUAAAAUUAUUUCAUGGUGAGACCUGAAGGACUCAAGUGUGCCAAAAUGAAUUAAUUAAAUACACCAUUAAAUAAUUAGUUAAAUGUGUC